UACGUAGGUGGCAAGCGUUGUCCGGAAUUAUUGGGCGUAAAGCGCGCGCAGGCGGUCCUUUAAGUCUGAUGUGAAAGCCCACGGCUCAACCGUGGAGGGUCAUUGGAAACUGGGGGACUUGAGUACAGAAGAGAAGAGUGGAAUUCCACGUGUAGCGGUGAAAUGCGUAGAGAUGUGGAGGAACACCAGUGGCGAAGGCGACUCUUUGGUCUGUAACUGACGCUGAGGCACGAAAGCGUGGGGAUCAAACAGG
rnacentral:rRNA from 1 species